rnacentral:lncRNA from 1 species
UCCGAAGCAGCAGAAUUGUGCGGAAAAAGAUUAAGGAAGUCUCCACUAACAACUUCACCUAAGCACGAAAAUGUACAAUUUAAUAAACUACCCAAAAGAUAGAAUUUUAGGAAAUGGAAAUGGGUUUUUGGGUUUGGGUAGGUUAGGAACAAGAUGUGGUUUGGGCUUGAGCCCAAACCCAUGCUUACACACACUGCACACACAUACACAGCCCAAAAGUUUUACAAACAAGGCCGGGCUUUAAGCCCAACCCGUGUACACACACACUCCUGCACAUGCAUAGUAUGCACAUGCACACACACAAAACCACACACACUCACGGCCCACACAUACACACCAGCACACUCACAAGCACUGCACACUUCACAUACACACACACACACUCACUGUACAUGGCCUGCAUAAUAUACCUAUCCCUGCAAUAUCAACCCGACUCUCUCACGGUACACACACACUGAGCACAGCAACUCAUACAUACAUGUGCACACAUUCACAGUACAUACAUAUAUAUACACUCACAAACACGCAUGUACAUACAUCCAUACAACCCACACACAUACGGACGUACACACACACACUUACACGGGCCUGCACUACAUCACACACACACAGGGCAUACUGCUGCAUGCAUGGCAUGCAGACACAUACACACGCUACACUCAACAACACACAUACACACACUGUCAAAAAGAACAACAGGUAAAUAAUUACCUGGGUUCGAAAUCAAAGGGGUCCGUGCACCCACAGCAACAAACUCGCCGGAGUUCGUCCUUCUUCUCUUGCCGAAAACUGGAAAAUAAAGAUUGAGGUGCAUGCAGGGGUUAGGACUUGAAUAAGGGAUUCAAACCUCCUCCCAGUUAUCACAAAGACAAAUAGGAAGAGAUCAGAUGCACUAAGAUACCCACCAACUCAGAACUCGACGGCAUUUUGCCGGAGUUCGUCGUCGGAAUCGAUUUCGAUAUACCAGUUUCGACAGAGGGUAAAACCCUCGAGUUUUUCACAUGAAAUCUUCAUCAAAGAUCAAAAAUAGCAAGAAUAACCCAGAAAUUUGAAAGAAGAACACGAGUCUCACCUGGGUUCGAGUUUUUGAGCUUUGAAGUUCACGGCUUCAAUGGCAGAACAACCUACCACACACCGAUGUCACAUGCAAUGCUAUGGUUGGGUUCCUUAAGCUUUAGGGAUUAAGAUUUCAUAAUUUGUUGGUUUGAUUUGUCUACAAUUUGAAUAGGGAAAAUGGUGAGAGCUCGCGGAGCUCUAGAGAGAGAGAGAGAAGAACAGAAAAAAAA